UACGUAGGCAGCGAGCGUUGUUCGGAGUUACUGGGCGUAAAGGGUGUGUAGGCGGUCUUUUAAGUUUGGUGUGAAAUCUCCCGGCUCAACCGGGAGGUGCGCCGAAUACUGAGAGACUUGGAGUGCGGGAGAGGAAAGUGGAAUUCCUGGUGUAGCGGUGAAAUGCGUAGAUAUCAGGAGGAACACCGGUGGUGUAGACGGCUUUCUGGACCGUAACUGACGCUGAAACACGAAAGCGUGGGUAGCAAACAGG
rnacentral:rRNA from 1 species